AUGCCGCGUGCAGGAAAGAGCCUUCGGGGUUUUAAACUGCUUUUAGGCGGGAGCAAUAAGAGGUAUGCAUACCUUGAUGAGCGUACCGCAGGAAUAAGCAUCGGCUAACUCCGUGCCAGCAGCCGCGGUAAUACGGAGGAUGCAAGCGUUAUCCGGAUUCAUUGGGUUUAAAGGGUGCGCAGGCGGCGUGUCAGGUCAGCGGUUAAAAACCGGAGCUUAACUUCGGGACAGGCGUUGAAACCGACAGGCUUGAAUAGUGUAGAAGUUGGGGGAAUGUACGGUGUAGCGGUGAAAUGCAUAGAUAUCGUACAGAAGACCGAUAGCGAAGGCACCUGACUAUGCACUGAUUGACGCUGAGGCACGAAAGCGCGGGGAUCAAACAGGAUUAGAUACCCUGGUAGUCCGCGCCGUAAACGAUGAUAACUGGCUGUUGGGAGCAAAAGCAUUCAGCGGCAAAGCGAAAGCGAUAAGUUAUCCACCUGGGGAGUACGGCCGCAAGGCUGAAACUCAAAGGAAUUGACGGGGGCCCGCACAAGCGGAGGAACAUGUGGUUUAAUUCGAUGAUACGCGAGGAACCUUACCCGGGCUCGAACGGCAGGAGAAUGCGGACGAAAAGUCUGCAGCCGGUAAAACGGCUACUGUCGAGGUGCUGCAUGGUUGUCGUCAGCUCGUGCCGUGAGGUGUCGGCUUAAGUGCCAUAACGAGCGCAACCCUUACCGUCCGUUGCCAGCGGUUAAAGCCGGGGACUCAGACGGGACUGCCGCCGUAAGGUGCGAGGAAGGAGGGGAUGACGUCAAAUCAGCACGGCCCUUACGUCCGGGGCGACACACGUGUUACAAUGGGCGGUACAGAGGGCAGCGACCUUGCGAGAGGAAGCGAAUCCCGAAAGCCGCUCCCGGUUCGGAUCGGAGUCUGCAACCCGACUCCGUGAAGCCGGAUUCGCUAGUAAUCGCGCAUCAGCCACGGCGCGGUGAAUACGUUCCCGGGCCUUGUACACACCGCCCGUCAAGCCAUGGGAGUCGGGGGUACCUGAAGUAUGCGACCGCAAGGAGCGUCCUAGGGUAAGACCGGUGACCGGGGCUAAGUCGCAACAAGGU
rnacentral:rRNA from 1 species